CUUCUAGUCUUACUUCUGACCUCCAAUCCCUGGGAGAGGGGCUGGAGAUUGAGUUCAAUCACUAAUGGCUGAAGACUGAAUCAAUCACGUCUGUGUAAUGAAGCCACCACUAAACUGCAAAGGGAUAGGGUUUGGAGAACUUUCAGGACCCGGCUAUUAGAAAAGAGGUUCAAUGUGAAUAUACUGACAAUAACAACAAAAAAAGAGAUUAGAGAAUUAAGAAAGAAAAUUCUAGAGGGCUUAAAGAUCACAUCUGGAAGGAUCUGAAAGGCCUCUUGAAGGAAAUAGAAAAAAAAAUUCUGGCUAAUUCCUCUAAUACUUCUGGACCCUCAUUGGCUAGGAAAUCAUGCUGUGUUCCCAUAUCUAUUUUCUGGUUCCGUGGAAGCUUCUUGAGUACAUGUCUAAUUUGGUUGGGUUCCCCCACUCUCGUACAGCUUCUCAUACAGUUGAAUUUUAAUUUUCAUUCCAUCAUAACGUUGGUGUUUGCCAUAAUCAAGACUGGCACAUCUCACAGAUGUCUUGUUUAUAAUAUUUCAAGCAGCUUCGGGUCCAAUGAGCUAUUGCAACACUAUGGCAUUGACAAUAACUAAAAGUUUUCUCACCUUGGAAUGGCAGGUGUCUUAGUUCCUACCUGCUGCUCCCCCACCUCAGGCAGAGAUGGAUAAGAAGGAGAAAAACAAGCUUUUGCAGGUGAAGGAAAACAGGAAGAAUUCAUUGCUAGCAGACCUGCACCGUACUGCAAGAAAAUUAAGAAAGUGCUUCAGGCAGAGGAGUAAGAUCAACUUAUAUUAACAUGAUAAUAUGAUAGACAGAAACUUCAUCUACACAAGCAAUGGAGAGCACUGGAAAUGGCAAAAGUCAAAGGUCUCUACUCAUGACCUUCACCUGGAGCAUGACUGGGAAAAUACAGAAAAAGGGAUGGAGUGCCAUUCUUAAGUAGCUUACCUUGAAGACUUAGUGCCGCUUGCAUAGCUGGCAGCAAUACGAAGUCGCCUAUAUCACUCAAAGGAAUAAUGGACCCUAUUAAAAGCUGCUGCAAACACUGUGAUUGAAUUGCUCUGUUUAUCAGUCUAAGAUGCACAACUGCAUACUUUGGCCCUACUAAAAGUUAGUGUUCCAUUGUUUUUAAAUUCUUAAUGUUCUUGGAUGAAAAACCAAGUGUUGAGGUUUCGGAGAGAUCACUAAUCAAUUCCAACCUUCUUUCUUGUGAAUUAUGAUCAUAUUUAAUACAAGUCAAAUAACUCCACAUACAACAAAGUACACUCAUUCUCAUUAAGUGUUAGUCUUCACUCCAUUUCCUAACAGAGAAACAAUAGACACUAAACAAAGAAACAUGACAUUAAAACAAGAACUGAAAAUUAAGAGGUAAUGCGUGACUAAAUUUCCUG
rnacentral:lncRNA from 1 species